GACGAACGCUGGCGGCGUGCUUAACACAUGCAAGUCGAACGGAAAGGCCCUGCUUUUGUGGGGUGCUCGAGUGGCGAACGGGUGAGUAACACGUGAGUAACCUGCCCUUGACUUUGGGAUAACUUCAGGAAACUGGGGCUAAUACCGGAUAGGAGCUCCUGCUGCAUGGUGGGGGUUGGAAAGUUUCGGCGGUUGGGGAUGGACUCGCGGCUUAUCAGCUUGUUGGUGGGGUAGUGGCUUACCAAGGCUUUGACGGGUAGCCGGCCUGAGAGGGUGACCGGCCACAUUGGGACUGAGAUACGGCCCAGACUCCUACGGGAGGCAGCAGUGGGGAAUAUUGCACACUGGGCGGAAGCCUGAUGCAGCAACGCCGCGUGCGGGAUGACGGCCUUCGGGUUGUAAACCGCUUUCGCCUGUGACGAAGCGUGAGUGACGGUAAUGGGUAAAGAAGCACCGGCUAACUACGU
rnacentral:rRNA from 1 species